CAGAAGUUGUAUUUACAGGUGUUGAAGAUUCCGGCAAACACCCAGCACUGCCCGUAACGCACAGGUUGCCUCUUUUCGGCGAAGCUUCUCAGGAUUUCGACGCUGCCCGUCCAUGAGAGAACCAACCCAAGGCAAAAGCCAGCUAAGCUGCUCCUUAGGGACCGGCAGCCACCAGGGGGCCCCCUACCAUGACCAGCCUGUCAGAAUUGUGGAGCUUGGCUGUUUUGAUUAUACUGGGGAAGAGUAUUUAUCAAGACCGAAGAUUGAAAGAUCGAAGAAGGAAAUUACCCUGGCAGAUGCCUGUCGGGAAACGAUGACUGGAUCGCCUCUGUUACUCAGGGGAAGUGUGGCAUCAUCCAUGACCAGGAGACAAGCAUCCAGAAUGCCACUCUCAAACUAUAGCACAGAGAGCAGGAAAACAACAGCUUUGCACAUCAGAAAAUACUAUUCACGAAAAAUGCAUUAAAAUCUGAAGAGAAAUCUGAAAUCUGUAUACAAUUCAAAAUAUAAGAUAGAUGGAUGGAGUAUACAUGAAAAUGAAAAGCUGCUUUUGUCAAA